rnacentral:rRNA from 1 species
UGGGGAAUUUUGGACAAUGGGCGAAAGCCUGAUCCAGCAAUGCCGCGUGUGUGAAGAAGGCCUUCGGGUUGUAAAGCACUUUUGUCCGGAAAGAAAUCCUUGGCUCUAAUACAGUCGGGGGAUGACGGUACCGGAAGAAUAAGCACCGGCUAACUACGUGCCAGCAGCCGCGGUAAUACGUAGGGUGCAAGCGUUAAUCGGAAUUACUGGGCGUAAAGCGUGCGCAGGCGGUUUGCUAAGACCGAUGUGAAAUCCCCGGGCUCAACCUGGGAACUGCAUUGGUGACUGGCAGGCUAGAGUAUGGCAGAGGGGGGUAGAAUUCCACGUGUAGCAGUGAAAUGCGUAGAGAUGUGGAGGAAUACCGAUGGCGAAGGCAGCCCCCUGGGCCAAUACUGACGCUCAUGCACGAAAGCGUGGGGAGCAAAACAGGAUUAGAUACCCUGGUAGUCCACGCCCUAAAACGAUGUCAACUAGUUGUUGGGGAUUCAUUUCCUUAGUAACGUAGCUAACGCGUGAAGUUGACCGCCUGGGGAGUACGGUCGC